UCGUAUACAAGUAAAGAACUCUACUCUCUAUAUCUAUAAAAACUUCUGUUGAGUUACUUCAGUCCUACAUAAACUAUUAUUAUUAUCAUCAUCGUCAUCAUCGUCAUCAUCGUUAUUAUUCUUUCUACUAUAGGCACAGAACCUCAAAGCAUUUUGUCUGAACUUCUAAUGAUUCUACCAAUCCUUCCCCUUAAUAAUUGCUUUUGACAUAAGCAGAAGGUCUGAAGUUUUGUGAGAGGUGUUAAGACAAGAAGAUUAAGCACCAGUUGACUGACCGCAGGAGGAGAAGUUGUAAAGUCGCCUCCGGUGAGAUUUGGAUUCAAACGGUACAAGGCCUGAAGUUUUGGAGGAGGGAACUAGUCAAUUACAUCGACCUUCCAGAAUUUCACUGGUACUUAAUUUAUCGAUUUCGAAAAGAUGAAAGGCAAAGUCGGCCUCGGCGGAGUUUGAACUCAGAACGUAGCGACGUGCGAAAUAUAUUGGGUUUAAUGAUAUGUUAUUCCUUCUCAUCAAUAUACUUUUCUACUCUAGGCAUAAGGCCCGAAAUUUUUUGGAAGGUUGGGGGGCAGUCGAUUAGAUCGACUCCAGUUAGUAACUGGUACUUAAUUUAUCGACCCCGAAAGGAUGAAAGGCAAAGUCGACCUCGGCGGAAUUUGAACUCAGAACGUAGCGACGUGCGAAAUAUAUUGGGUUUAAUGAUAGCUUAUUCCUUCUCAUCAAUAUAUCCGGCCUUGGGUUUAUGGAAUGAUAUUCUUCAGACCAUCUGGGUGCGUGACCCGUUUUCGAUUUCCAGCUAAACCCUUUUCAUUUUCUUCAUGAUGUCGUUGCCUUUCAAGGGAAAACUUAAUGGCAUCGCAACUUCUUAUAUCUUAUCCCUAACGAAUUUAAAAAUAUCUUAACCUUUCAAAACAGUUAAACUCGAUUCACUACUUUAAGUCAAUACUAGUGUAAACUACUGUAGUAGUCUUCUUCGCUGAUAAUCCUGACCUAUAAAGCACGUUGAUAUCUAUAAAAUGGUAGAAUCAUCUGGGAGAAAUCCAGUAAUUGUCGAGCAGAAAAAGAAGUUUACGUUGAAGAUGAAAACUGAUACUGGGUUAUUCCAAUGAUCCACUAACGGAACUAGACAACGAUAAAGACUAAUAAGGAAGAGAAUCAUUUAGCAAAGAACUUCAUGGAAAUUGUUUUACUAGGCAUUAUUUUUAUCUCAAUCAUAAAUACAAAAGCCAUGUCAUAGUGAUAGACAGAAAUGCAAUGCUAUAACACUAAUAUACUUCUCUGGAGCAAUAGCAGUUUCGCUUGGGAAAUGAAGCUAACUGGCUGAUUCCAUCAAGAGCAAACUGUUUGUUCUACAGGAUUCGCUACUUGCAUGCCUAAUUAGCACACAUGAAAUGUAAUCAAACUCUUUAAAAUGGGUGUAAAAUAUCGAUAUAUUUUUAAUGGUUUAAUCAGAAGGGAAAAGAAAAUAUUCAUGACUCUUUUCAGGACUUGCAUGAUUAGUAGGAACAUGAGAGAUGGUUAUCACCUGACUGGGGGGAAACAACGACCCCGCUACCUGCCACUCAUAACGUUUCCUUGAUAUUUACCGACCCCUUGUAAGUUCACAACGACCCCCAGAGAGCGCAACUUCCAGCUUAAGAACAACUGAUCUACAGGGUCGUUGCAGUGUUGUGACAUCUCUGUACUGUGUUAUACUAUACUAGGAAACAAUUUGUCAAUCCUCUUUCAUGAAAAAUCGGGAAUACGUGUCAAGAUGAAUGUUUGCAUUGUGUAAUAAGCAUUGUGUCAUAAUCGAAGAACCAAAGUUGAUGCUAACAUCCUACCUAUUUAUCUCUGUUACUAACGACAAAUGUUACAAGAGUAUUCCAUUAGCUUCAGAAAAAUAAGCAUUUGCAAUCAUAUCUAAUACAGAAACUUAUCAAAGCAAAACAUCAUAUAUUAAGAUUCGACGAUAUAUCAGAUUGUUUCAAUCUAAAUUUCUUGUUGUGUUCUCUGUCCUGAAAGCACAGCAGAUAGUCAUGUAAAUUUUAAGUGGUCAAUUUACCAAUAUUUCGUAUGAUGCCUCUUUCAGAAACUUUUGUUUCCAAAAGAGGUGUAAAACGUUGUUUCUUAAAACACAGAUAAAUUUGUUCUCUUUUUACCCUCUUUUGGAUUACAUGCACUAAGUAUACACAAUACACAACGACUCUUCUUCCGAAAACUUUAUCUAGCCUAAUAUCUUUUCCUGUGUAACGUCAGAGGAAAAAUUGGCUCAAACUGCGACUAUGUUCAUAAUCUUCCUGGACCAACAUAUUUGUCUGUGUAUUUAUCCUAUUGUAGUUAUUCUAUCAUUUUUUAAUCUGUUCAAAAUAAUUUCUUUUCCAA